AGGAGCUGGAGGCUGAGACAGAGGCUGCUAGAGUCAACGACAGCGAAGAGCCGUCUACGCCGGUGAACGCCAAGAAAACAAAAAGGAUGAUGCCCAAGAAGGCUAAGGGAGGGGAGGAGUCUGACUUCAUUACGUUUCCAGCACCAUGCCACCAUCCCUACACCCAUCUUCUUCAAGAGAGCAAAGGGAAGCCCCAGCACAUCGUUGUCCAGCAAGAAGAAGUGUCAGACUCCAAAAUCUGAAUCCAAGAAGGUUACCUUUGGACUUCAUAAAAACAAAGCUGCAGAAUUCAGGAAGACCGAUCACAGCCUGCUGGUGAGUCCAGAAGGGUGGUCCAGAGUGCCAUUUGACCCCCAGCAGAAACCCCUGUUUGGAGUGCUGAAGUCCCCAGUGGCCUCUCUUACCAACAGCAACAAGAAGAAGACCAAGAGCAUCCUGAAAGCCAGCCCCAAACGCCCUACUCUGCUGCUGACUUUCUCUAGUCGUCCGUGAGGAGACUGGUGAGACAGAGGACCCUCCCCCUCCACUCAGUCCCACCCCACUGUUUGUCCACUAGGAAAAUAUAAUUAUGAACGCAUGACCACAGAAUCUGUUAUUCCUCUGUUGGGGCGAUAUUGAUAUACACUUAUUUUUUAGUGGAAAUAUUUAUACGUUUCUAUGUUCUUUUGCUGUUCUGUGGGUGAGCAAGUGUUCAAAUAAAGACCACUCCCUCCUUUUA